rnacentral:rRNA from 1 species
AACGAACGCUGGCGGCAUGCCUAACACAUGCAAGUCGAACGAGACCUUCGGGUCUAGUGGCGCACGGGUGCGUAACGCGUGGGAACCUGCCCUUAGGUUCGGAAUAACUCCCCGAAAGGGGUGCUAAUACCGGAUAAUGUCUUCGGACCAAAGAUUUAUCGCCUUUGGAUGGGCCCGCGUUGGAUUAGCUAGUUGGUAGGGUAAAAGCCUACCAAGGCGACGAUCCAUAGCUGGUCUGAGAGGAUGAUCAGCCACACUGGGACUGAGACACGGCCCAGACUCCUACGGGAGGCAGCAGUGGGGAAUAUUGGACAAUGGGCGAAAGCCUGAUCCAGCAAUGCCGCGUGAGUGAUGAAGGCCUUAGGGUUGUAAAGCUCUUUUACCCGGGAUGAUAAUGACAGUACCGGGAGAAUAAGCUCUGGCUAACUCCGUG